AAAACCUAGUGGCGCACGGGUGAGUAACACGUGAGAAUCUACCAAAAAGUGGGGGAUAGCUCGCCGAAAGGCGAAUUAAUACCGCAUGUGGCUGAAAAGCCAAAGUGGGGGACCUUCGGGCCUCACGCUUUUUGAUGAGCUCGCGGCCUAUCAGCUAGUUGGUGAGGUAAAAGCUCACCAAGGCUCUGACGGGUAGCUGGUCUGAGAGGACGACCAGCCACACUGGAACUGAGACACGGUCCAGACACCUACGGGUGGCAGCAGUCGAGAAUCAUUCACAAUGGGGGAAACCCUGAUGGUGCGACGCCGCGUGGAGGAUGAAGGUCUUCAUGAUCGUAAACUCCUGUCACCACAGAACAACAGUACAGCCAUUAACACCGGCAGUACUUGAUGGUAUGUGGAGAGGAAGCAACGGCUAACUCUGUGCCAGCAGCCGCGGUGAUACAGAGGUUGCAAGCGUUGUUCGGAUUCACUGGGCGUAAAGGGUGCGUAGGAGGCAUGGAAAGUCGGAUGUGAAAGCUCACCGCCCAACGGUGAAAUAGCAUUCGAUACUACCAUACUAGAGGGCCGGAGAGGAAAGCGGAAUUCUUGGUGUAGCGGUGAAAUGCGUAGAUCUCAAGAGGAACGCCAACGGCGAAAGCAGCUUUCUGGAAGGACCCUGACUCUGAGGCACGAAGGCUAGGGUAGCAAACGGGAUUAGAUACCCCGGUAGUCCUAGCAGUAAACGGUGUUCACCAGGUGUUGGAGGAAUCGACCCCUUCAGUGCCGAACCAAAACGGAUUAAGUGAACCGCCUGGGAAGUACGGCCGCAAGGCUAAUACUCAAAGAAAUUGACGGGGGCCCGCACAAGCGGUGGAGUAUGUGGCUUUAUUCGAUGCAACGCGAAGAACCUUACCUGGCCUGGACAUGUAGAGCUCAAGCGAUGAAAGUCGCUGGCCCGCAAGGGCGAUCUACACAGGUGCUGCAUGGCUGUCGUCAGCUCGUGUCGUGAGAUGUUGGGUUAAGUCCCGCAACGAGCGGCAACCCCUAUGGCUAGUUACC
rnacentral:rRNA from 1 species